rnacentral:rRNA from 1 species
UGGGGAAUAUUGGACAAUGGGCGCAAGCCUGAUCCAGCAAUACCGCGUGUGUGAAGAAGGCCUGAGGGUUGUAAAGCACUUUUAAUCGGGAGGAACACCUGUCAGCGAAUACCUGGCAGUAUGACAUUACCGAUAGAAAAAGCACCGGCUAACUCCGUG